GUGGGGAAUUUUGGACAAUGGGCGCAAGCCUGAUCCAGCAAUGCCGCGUGCAGGAAGAAGGCCUUCGGGUUGUAAACUGCUUUUGUACGGAACGAAAAGGCUCUGGUUAAUACCUGGGGCUCAUGACGGUACCGUAAGAAUAAGCACCGGCUAACUACGUGCCAGCAGCCGCGGUAAUACGUAGGGUGCAAGCGUUAAUCGGAAUUACUGGGCGUAAAGUGUGCGCAGGCGGUUUUGUAAGACAGAGGUGAAAUCCCCGGGCUCAACCUGGGAAUUGCCUUUGGGACUGCAAGGCUGGAGUGCGGCAGAGGGGGAUGGAAUUCCGCGUGUAGCAGUGAAAUGCGUAGAUAUGCGGAGGAACACCGAUGGCGAAGGCAAUCCCCUGGGCCUGCACUGACGCUCAUGCACGAAAGCGUGGGGAGCAAACAGGAUUAGAUACCCCUGUAGUCC
rnacentral:rRNA from 1 species